rnacentral:rRNA from 1 species
UACAGAGGUGGCAAGCGUUGUUCGGAAUUACUGGGCGUAAAGGGCGCGUAGGCGGCCAUCUAAGUCAGACGUGAAAUCCCCCGGCUUAACCUGGGAACUGCGUCUGAUACUGGACGGCUUGAGUUUGGGAGAGGGAUGCAGAAUUCCAGGUGUAGCGGUGAAAUGCGUAGAUAUCUGGAGGAAUACCGGUGGCGAAGGCGGUUCUCUGGGCCUUACCUGACGCUGAGGAGCGAAAGCGUGGGGAGCGAACAGG